GACGAACGCUGGCGGCGUGCUUAACACAUGCAAGUCGAACGGUAAGGCCCUUCGGGGUACACGAGUGGCGAACGGGUGAGUAACACGUGGGUGAUCUGCCCUGCACUUCGGGAUAAGCCUGGGAAACUGGGUCUAAUACCGGAUAGGACUCCGGACUGCAUGGUCUGGGGUGGAAAGCUGUUGCGGUGUGGGAUGGGCCCGAGGCCUAUCAGCCUGUUGGGGGGGUGAUGGCCUAGCAAGGCGACGACGGGUAGCCGGCCUGAGAGGGGGAACGGCCACACUGGGAGUGAGAUACGGCGCAGACUGCUACGGGAGGCAGCAGUGGGGAAUAUUGCACAAUGGGCGCAAGCCUGAUGCAGCGACGCCGCGUGGGGGAUGACGGCCUUCGGGUUGUACACCUCUUUCAGCGUCGACGAAGCGAAAGUGACGGUAGGUGCAGAAGAAGGACCGGCCAACUACGUGCCAGCAGCCGCGGUAA
rnacentral:rRNA from 1 species